UACGGGGGGGGCAAGCGUUGUUCGGAAUUACUGGGCGUAAAGGGCUCGUAGGCGGCCAACUAAGUCGGACGUGAAAUCCCUCGGCUUAACCGGGGAACUGCGUCCGAUACUGGAUGGCUUGAGGUUGGGAGAGGGAUGCGGAAUUCCAGGUGUAGCGGUGAAAUGCGUAGAUAUCUGGAGGAACACCGGUGGCGAAGGCAGCAUCCUGGACCAACACUGACGCUGAGGAGCGAAAGCCAGGGGAGCAAACGGG
rnacentral:rRNA from 1 species